AGCGUACACGGUGGAUGCCCUGGCAGUCAGAGGCGAUGAAGGACGUGCUAAUCUGCGAUAAGCGUCGGUAAGGUGAUAUGAACCGUUAUAACCGGCGAUUUCCGAAUGGGGAAACCCAGUGUGAUUCGUCACACUAUCAUUAACUGAAUCCAUAGGUUAAUGAGGCGAACCGGGGGAACUGAAACAUCUAAGUACCCCGAGGAAAAGAAAUCAACCGAGAUUCCCCCAGUAGCGGCGAGCGAACGGGGAGGAGCCCAGAGCCUGAAUCAGUGUGUGUGUUAGUGGAAGCGUCUGGAAAGGCGCGCGAUACAGGGUGACAGCCCCGUACACAAAAAUGCACAUGCUGUGAGCUCGAUGAGUAGGGCGGGACACGUGGUAUCCUGUCUGAAUAUGGGGGGACCAUCCUCCAAGGCUAAAUACUCCUGACUGACCGAUAGUGAACCAGUACCGUGAGGGAAAGGCGAAAAGAACCCCGGCGAGGGGAGUGAAAAAGAACCUGAAACCGUGUACGUACAAGCAGUGGGAGCACAGAGCAAUCUGUGUGACUGCGUACCUUUUGUAUAAUGGGUCAGCGACUUAUAUUCUGUAGCAAGGUUAACCGAAUAGGGGAGCCGAAGGGAAACCGAGUCUUAACUGGGCGUUAAGUUGCAGGGUAUAGACCCGAAACCCGGUGAUCUAGCCAUGGGCAGGUUGAAGGUUGGGUAACACUAACUGGAGGACCGAACCGACUAAUGUUGAAAAAUUAGCGGAUGACUUGUGGCUGGGGGUGAAAGGCCAAUCAAACCGGGAGAUAGCUGGUUCUCCCCGAAAGCUAUUUAGGUAGCGCCUCGUGAAUUCAUCUCCGGGGGUAGAGCACUGUUUCGGCAAGGGGGUCAUCCCGACUUACCAACCCGAUGCAAACUGCGAAUACCGGAGAAUGUUAUCACGGGAGACACACGGCGGGUGCUAACGUCCGUCGUGAAGAGGGAAACAACCCAGACCGCCAGCUAAGGUCCCAAAGUCAUGGUUAAGUGGGAAACGAUGUGGGAAGGCCCAGACAGCCAGGAUGUUGGCUUAGAAGCAGCCAUCAUUUAAAGAAAGCGUAAUAGCUCACUGGUCGAGUCGGCCUGCGCGGAAGAUGUAACGGGGCUAAACCAUGCACCGAAGCUGCGGCAGCGACGCUUAUGCGUUGUUGGGUAGGGGAGCGUUCUGUAAGCCUGCGAAGGUGUGCUGUGAGGCAUGCUGGAGGUAUCAGAAGUGCGAAUGCUGACAUAAGUAACGAUAAAGCGGGUGAAAAGCCCGCUCGCCGGAAGACCAAGGGUUCCUGUCCAACGUUAAUCGGGGCAGGGUGAGUCGACCCCUAAGGCGAGGCCGAAAGGCGUAGUCGAUGGGAAACAGGUUAAUAUUCCUGUACUUGGUGUUACUGCGAAGGGGGGACGGAGAAGGCUAUGUUGGCCGGGCGACGGUUGUCCCGGUUUAAGCGUGUAGGCUGGUUUUCCAGGCAAAUCCGGAAAAUCAAGGCUGAGGCGUGAUGACGAGGCACUACGGUGCUGAAGCAACAAAUGCCCUGCUUCCAGGAAAAGCCUCUAAGCAUCAGGUAACAUCAAAUCGUACCCCAAACCGACACAGGUGGUCAGGUAGAGAAUACCAAGGCGCUUGAGAGAACUCGGGUGAAGGAACUAGGCAAAAUGGUGCCGUAACUUCGGGAGAAGGCACGCUGAUAUGUAGGUGAAGCGACUUGCUCGUGGAGCUGAAAUCAGUCGAAGAUACCAGCUGGCUGCAACUGUUUAUUAAAAACACAGCACUGUGCAAACACGAAAGUGGACGUAUACGGUGUGACGCCUGCCCGGUGCCGGAAGGUUAAUUGAUGGGGUCAGCGCAAGCGAAGCUCUUGAUCGAAGCCCCGGUAAACGGCGGCCGUAACUAUAACGGUCCUAAGGUAGCGAAAUUCCUUGUCGGGUAAGUUCCGACCUGCACGAAUGGCGUAAUGAUGGCCAGGCUGUCUCCACCCGAGACUCAGUGAAAUUGAACUCGCUGUGAAGAUGCAGUGUACCCGCGGCAAGACGGAAAGACCCCGUGAACCUUUACUAUAGCUUGACACUGAACAUUGAGCCUUGAUGUGUAGGAUAGGUGGGAGGCUUUGAAGUGUGGACGCCAGUCUGCAUGGAGCCGACCUUGAAAUACCACCCUUUAAUGUUUGAUGUUCUAACGUGGACCCGUAAUCCGGGUUGCGGACAGUGUCUGGUGGGUAGUUUGACUGGGGCGGUCUCCUCCUAAAGAGUAACGGAGGAGCACGAAGGUUGGCUAAUCCUGGUCGGACAUCAGGAGGUUAGUGCAAUGGCAUAAGCCAGCUUGACUGCGAGCGUGACGGCGCGAGCAGGUGCGAAAGCAGGUCAUAGUGAUCCGGUGGUUCUGAAUGGAAGGGCCAUCGCUCAACGGAUAAAAGGUACUCCGGGGAUAACAGGCUGAUACCGCCCAAGAGUUCAUAUCGACGGCGGUGUUUGGCACCUCGAUGUCGGCUCAUCACAUCCUGGGGCUGAAGUAGGUCCCAAGGGUAUGGCUGUUCGCCAUUUAAAGUGGUACGCGAGCUGGGUUUAGAACGUCGUGAGACAGUUCGGUCCCUAUCUGCCGUGGGCGCUGGAGAACUGAGGGGGGCUGCUCCUAGUACGAGAGGACCGGAGUGGACGCAUCACUGGUGUUCGGGUUGUCAUGCCAAUGGCACUGCCCGGUAGCUAAAUGCGGAAGAGAUAAGUGCUGAAAGCAUCUAAGCACGAAACUUGCCCCGAGAUGAGUUCUCCCUGACUCCUUGA
rnacentral:rRNA from 1 species